UUCCGUCAGGCGCGCUGCUGGGCAGCCCUGACCCGGGGGUCCUCACGGGGAGCUUUAAAUGGCGAGGCCCCCCGCGAGGCCUGCGCCACGUGGAGCAGGGGCUGGCUGGGGACACGUGCGGGCGGAUGGCAGUGACCCCGCCAUGGAUGGGCCGUGGGAUGGGCUGCCGUCCCUGGGGAGAUCUUCUCUCUCUUCUUCUCCCCCCCCCCCCCGUGAGCUGACCCGGGGGAGGCUGGAGGAAUGAAGUUGGUACUGCCCUGCAGAGCCCCAUGGGUACUGGGGUGCAGUGAGCCCCCUGGCUGGUGCUGUGCAGUGACCAUGAGUGGCACUGGGCUCGUGGGGGUGAAAAAUCCCCAAGACUGACCUGCCCUACACUUCUGCAAGGACUUCCCUGCAGCCCCCCAGAACGGUGCGGAGAUCCUGCAUGUGCCAAUCCCUGCACUGGUCCAGGGAGCCAGGACUCCUGGGUUCUGUUCCUAGUUCUGGUGCCCCUUGUAGCUAACCUGAGGCCCAGGCCGGGGCCUGUUGAUCGGGGGGCGGGGUUCAUGUCCCCUCCCCACUGAUCCCCAGCAGCUGCAGCUCCUGUCCUGCCAAUAAAGUCGUGUUGAUCUGAA